UCCCUGGUGACUUAGAUGGGUAAAGAAUCUGCCUGCAAUGCAGAAGACCUGGGUUCAAUCCAUGGGUAGGGAA
rnacentral:tRNA from 1 species